AUGAACGCUGGCGGCGUGCCUAAUACCUGCAAGUCGAGCGAACAGACGAGGAGCUUGCUCCUCUGACGUUAGCGGCGGACGGGUGAGUAACACGUGGAUAACCUACCUAUAAGACUGGGAUAACUUCGGGAAACCGGAGCUAAUACCGGAUAAUAUAUUGAACCGCAUGGUUCCAUAGUGAAAGACGGUUUUGCUGUCACUUAUAGAUGGAUCCGCGCCGCAUUAGCUAGUUGGUAAGGUAACGGCUUACCAAGGCGACGAUGCGUAGCCGACCUGAGAGGGUGAUCGGCCACACUGGAACUGAGACACGGUCCAGACUCCUACGGGAGGCAGCAGUAGGGAAUCUUCCGCAAUGGGCGAAAGCCUGACGGAGCAACGCCGCGUGAGUGAUGAAGGUCUUCGGAUCGUAAAACUCUGUUAUUAGGGAAGAACAAAUGUGUAAGUAACUAUGCACGUCUUGACGGUACCUAAUCAGAAAGCCACGGCUAACUACGUG
rnacentral:rRNA from 1 species